rnacentral:rRNA from 1 species
UACGGAGGAUGCAAGCGUUAUCCGGAAUUAUUGGGCGUAAAGAGUCCGUAGGCGGCCCGGCAAGUCUGCUGUCAAAGAAUGGAGCUUAACUCCAUAAGGGCAGUGGAAACUGCAGAGCUAGAGUCUAGGAGGGGUAGAGGGAAUUCCCAGUGUAGCGGUGAAAUGCGUAGAGAUUGGGAAGAACACCGGUGGCGAAAGCGCUCUACUGGACUAGAACUGACGCUGAGGGACGAAAGCUAGGGU